GAUGAACGCUAGCGGGAGGCCUAACACAUGCAAGCCGAGCGGUAUGGAUAGCUUGCUAUCCAGAGAGCGGCGUACGGGUGCGUAACACGUGUGCAACCUACCUUUAUCUGGGGGAUAGCCUUUCGAAAGGAAGAUUAAUACCCCAUAAUAUAAUGAUUGGCAUCAAUUAUUAUUGAAAACUCCGGUGGAUAGAGAUGGGCACGCGCAAGAUUAGAUAGUUGGUGAGGUAACGGCUCACCAAGUCAAUGAUCUUUAGGGGUCCUGAGAGGGAGAUCCCCCACACUGGUACUGAGACACGGACCAGACUCCUACGGGAGGCAGCAGUGAGGAAUAUUGGACAAUGGGUGAGAGCCUGAUCCAGCCAUCCCGCGUGAAGGAUGACGGUCCUAUGGAUUGUAACUUCUUUUGUACAGGGAUAAACCUACCCUCGUGAGGGUAGCUGAAGGUACUGUACGAAUAAGCACCGGCUAACUCCGUG
rnacentral:rRNA from 1 species